CAGGCAUGCAGUCCCAAAGGACUGUAUAUGUUUGCAUACUUUAAAACCUGUGGCCUGAGGGUCUGGCUUCCAAUCAGCCCGAAUCUAGGUGCUGACUGAGAUCCUCCCCUUUGGGACACUGA